UCUGGUGAUUUGACGCCGUGGUCACACCCGAUCCCAUUCCGAACUCGGCAGUUAAGCAUGGUUGUAGCGAUGGUACUCGAAAGGGGAGAGUAGCUAAUCGCCAGAA
rnacentral:rRNA from 1 species